GCACUACGGAAUUCUCCGNNAGGGGGUAACUGCGGAGGGAUCAUUACACAAAUAUGAAGGCGGGCUGGAACCUCUCGGGGUUACAGCCUUGCUGAAUUAUUCACCCUUGUCUUUUGCGUACUUCUUGUUUCCUUGGUGGGUUCGCCCACCACUAGGACAAACAUAAACCUUUUGUAAUUGCAAUCAGCGUCAGUAACAAAUUAAUAAUUACAACUUUCAACAACGGAUCUCUUGGUUCUGGCAUCGAUGAAGAACGCAGCGAAAUGCGAUAAGUAGUGUGAAUUGCAGAAUUCAGUGAAUCAUCGAAUCUUUGAACGCACAUUGCGCCCUUUGGUAUUCCAAAGGGCAUGCCUGUUCGAGCGUCAUUUGUACCCUCAAGCUUUGCUUGGUGUUGGGCGUCUUGUCUCUAGCUUUGCUGGAGACUCGCCUUAAAGUAAUUGGCAGCCGGCCUACUGGUUUCGGAGCGCAGCACAAGUCGCACUCUCUAUCAGCAAAGGUCUAGCAUCCAUUAAGCCUUUUUUUCAACUUUUGACCUCGGAUCAGGUAGGGAUACCCGCUGAACUUAAGCAUAUCAAAAACCGGAAGGAAAUUA
rnacentral:rRNA from 1 species